AGGGCCACACCUGCAGCAUGUGGAAGUUCCCAGGCAAGGGAGCAAACGGGAACUAUGGGUACCAGCCUACGACACAGCCACAUCAACAAGGGAUCCGAGCCAAGCCUGCGACCUACACCCCAUCUCAUGGCCACACCAGAUCCUUAACCCACUGAGCGAGGCCAGGGAUUGAACCCGCAUCCUCAUGGAUCCUAGUCGGGCUCCUUACCACAAAGCCACGACGGGAACUCCCACCCACACUUACUCUUAGAUCGAUGCAAAGGCACCCUCAGGCUCUCACUGUGUCUCUUCCGUCCAAUGACCACAGCCAGUCAUAGCAUCCAAUUCUCGAGCCCUUGAAAACGACUGCUUCCCUCCCAAAGCCCAUCUUAACAAUGUCUCCGUGGUGCCAUUUCUAGGCCCAAAGGCCUGCAGUCAGGUUCUCAGGAGACCAGCCUGGAGGGGGGAUUUGCAGGCAGCUGGCCUACUGGGCAGGGCUCUCAGGGACGCACCUGUGAGCCAGUGAGGGCUCCAGGAUGGGGCAGAAGGCUUCAGUGGACCUCACGGAAAGCUCUGGCGCUGGGCUCCCCUUUAGGGCUGCCCCAGUCAAGGCAAGGGGACUGCGACUUGGUGCUCCCAUGCCCCCCAGGGCCUAAACUUGGGUGGGGCAGCUCUGGAGAAGUACCUAGCCGCAAGGCAUCCGCAGACAGCAGCUCAGCAGCUUGGAGAACGGGUACCUCUGACCUGACCUGGGGAGGUGGGUGCUGCACCACAGCACCACUUCUGUGGCUCAGCUCCUGCCCAGCGGUCCCUCCUUCCACAGGGGGACAUGGGGGCCCCUGGGGGGUGUGGGUCUCUGAGCCGCCUCACCCUCCUGUCUGGCCUCUCCGGAACCUUCCAGAACCUAGCUCCCGAUACGCCAUUCUCUCUGCCACGCCCCCCACCAUGGGCCCCGGUGUCCUGCCUGGCCCCAGGCGGCCAGUAGCUGGGUAACUACUGGGCCCCCUCUGACAGAGAUCCACUCACCCGGGGCACCCAGCACGUUUCCACAGGGUGGAGACGAGAACCCAGCCCCCCACCCCCCCCCCCCAGGCAGUCUCUUGCCUUGUCCCGGCAUCCUCCGCCCCUAAGUGGGGUGACAGCCACUGACCUCCAUGGGCCACUGGGGCGUCCGAUGGCCUGGAGACGGGGCGGUGGUUGGGAGCAGCGGGCGAGGUUGCCGGCUGCCUCUUGGACGGCGGUGUGGGAAUCACGCUGCCUCCUGCCCUGGGCUCUGGGGCGUUUGCACAGGCGCAGGCCUGGAGGGACAAAGCUGCUCUUGUUGGGUUUCCAGCUUCCCCCCAAGACCAGAAAUUCCCAGGGGCAGACUUGAAGCCCUCUUGCAAGGAGGGGCUGGAAAGAGGGCUCCCUUCCUCCUGCCGCCCCAGGCAUCCUUGCCCCCCCCCCGCCCCCCGUGGAAGGACUCCGUCUGAUAGCACCGGAAAUACACACUCGCCGUGAAAACAUAAGGAAAUCUGAGCAAGUCGAGGGUGUGACUUACAGUCCAUCACUGCCCCGCCAGCCCCACGCCCUGGCGAGGGCCCAGUUCACACCCGGGCUUGCGGUCACCAGUUCUGCACGGCGUCGGGGCCACCCUGCGUGCCGAGACGGGUGUGGUGAGCUGGGUAAGAGCCUGGCUUUCCAGUUGGAGAGACUCAGCUGGGACUUCCGGCCCUGCCACCCCUGCCACGACUUGGCACACCUGUAAGGCGGGAACCGUCACACUGGCCUCACUGGGGCGCGAGGAUUCAGCCUGUGCGGGCAGAAAAAAGGCUGCACAGCCAGCCGGGGACUUGCCAAGCUCUCCACUGACUCCAGCCCUCCCCCGUGGAGCCCGGGGGUACAGAGGACAGGGGGUGGCACGGCAGGACGGACCCCUGCAGAGGCUGUGCAUCCGUCCGCCCACCCAGAAGGGCUGGGACAGGCAAGGAGGCCCACUGGUCACAAUGUCCCACCAAAGUUGGGCUCCUCACCCACCGCGGCUCAGAACCAGCUGUUGGAGUGUUGGUUCCACCGCGGGAGGUAUCCAGCGGGCAGUGCGGGUGGGACUCGGGGGUCAGGCAAAGCAACACGGGGCCUUCACGGCAGAAUCCCUGGGUGCCUUGAGCUGAGCUGUGACGGGGCUGUGCUGUGAUGGGGCUGCCGAGUCUUACUCAUCCCUCCACCACCACCACCAUGUGUUCUUGGCUCUGGAGCCUCCUUUUUGUUAGUAAAAUUUCAUUUAUUUAGAACAAUUCAAGGUCAGCAGCCGAACUGAGACGGGUGUACAGAGCGUUCCCAUCUGCCCGCGCCCGGUUUUCCCAAGGAUUUCAGCGUCUCACGUCCGUGUGGGGCCCUGGUUACAAUUCAUCAGCCAAGACCCCACCUUAGGAACUCAAGUCCGCACUAUUCAGAGUCCCUUAGUUCGUCCCCUAAUGUCCUGCUGUGGCCCCAGGACCCCAUCCAGGAGCCCACAUGACGCUCGGGCAUCACAUCUCCUUGGGCCCCUCUGGGCUGGGGGGGCUCCUCAGACUUUCCUUGUUUGGGGUGAACUUCACAGGUUUCUGUUUGUUUGUUGUUUGGCCUUUUUAAGGCCAUAUGUGCAGCAUAUGGAGGUUCCCAGGCUCGAGGUUGAAUCAGAGCCACAGCAGCCGGCCUACACCGCAGCCACAGCAACACAGGAUCCAAGCCCCUUCUGCAACCUACACCACAGCUGACGGCAACGCCAGAUCCUUCACCCACUGAGCGAGGCCAGGGAUCCAACCUGCGUCCUCGUGGGUAUGCGUCGGGUCUGUUACCGCUGAGCCACUACGGGAACUCCCGAACUUAGCAGUUUUGAGGAGGGCUGGCCAGGUUUUGGUGGCGUGCCCCUUAGGUGGGGUUUGCCUGGUGUGUUUCUCGUGGUUCGUCCGGCUGGGCGUUGGGUUUUGGGGGAGACCACAGAGGGGAGGAGGGUCCCUCUCACCCCGACGCAUCGCGGCUGCGUGCCGUCGCCAGGGUCUGUCACCGGCCACGCGGAGCUUGGAGGUCGUGUCUCCCCGGAGCCCCUUUCCCUUCUCUGCUCUGGUCUCCUGGCCCCUUCAUGGGGGCCGCCCAUAUGGAACCACGCACCUCAGCGAUGCCCAGCUAAUUCGAGCCUGGGACACCGUAGGUGCCUCAUUAACCGUCUCUGAACGGAAAGGAGCAGGGAAAUCAACCCUGCGCUGUUGGCCUCGUUAGGAAUGAGGUUCUCCCUUGAUUGGAAUCCGACCCUCGGCUUGUGGUCUAAUCAAGCUCAGCUGCUCCCUCCAGCCUGGAUGGCUGGCUCGGCUCCCUCAUGGCCUGGGGGGCUCCCACGGUCCCCCACUCCCAGCCUCUGCCCCCCACCAGGAGGGUACCCCCAGCCAGAGGGGCUACCAGCUCCCCCACAAACGCCCUAUUUUGAACCCCACGGAGACCUCAAAAUCACCCCAGCACAGAAAGACCCACAACAAUAGAACAGCAAGGGAGGGUUGUGGUCGUGGCUGUCCCCAGCCCCUCCCCGCUCGGCCUCAGGGGCCGGGUCUCUGGAACAUUCCACCCCUACCCCACUCUGGCUGCUUUUGUCUGCUGGUCUGGUGUCCAUCAAAGCCACGAGCAGCCUUGGAGCCUGCAGGAGGUGGCACCCUGCCCUAGCGACUGUCCCCACCCUGCAGAGAGGUAAACUGAGACGCAGAGAGGGACACGCCCUACAUCACGUCCCACAGUGCCCCGUGGAAAGGUGGACUCGAACCCCAGCCCAGCUGCGAAGCACACCGCCUCCCAGUGACUGGGGGCCCCUCUGUUCCAUGACCCAGCAAAAGCCGGUCAAGUGGACAGUGGAAGGGGCUUGGCCAGGUCCCAGCGAGCCAGCCACCCGGCCUGGGCAGGUCUGGGCAGGUGGGGGCAGUCUUGUCCCUCAGGUGGUGUGGGCAGAAGCCUCCACCUCCCUCUUCCAGGCGGGGAGGGGCUUGGCAUGGGGGGGUCCCCAAACUCUGCUUCUUAUUCGCAAGACCUAGGGGGGCUGUUGGAAGGCACGGUUGGGGAGACCCUGGCCAGCCUCACACUCAGGAGCAGGGGGGAAAGCUGGCUGCUGAGUCAGGAAAGCGGGGGUCCUGACAAACACCCGGAGGCUGCCCCCCGCUCUCACCUUCUGUGGCUCCCUACUUCCCCCGAGGGUCCGGAUUCUUUAUAAGGCCUGGCAGGUGCGCAAGCGCUGCCUGAGGCCCUCGUCAGCCCCCUGACAGCCCCUACCUGCUGUCACGCGGCCUCCACCCUGUCACACCGGCUACGCCUCUGCAGGGCCAUCCCCACGGGGAUUCUGGUUGCUGCCUCGGGACCCCAAAAUGUCCCUACUUUGAUCAUCGUGUCCAUGCAGUUUUUCAAAAGUCCCUCCCAAACAGGGACCGUGUGAAGGCUGCCUAGACCUUGUCAGCUGUUUGGAUCCUUAACCCACUGAGUGAUGCCGGGGAUCGAACCUGUGUCCUUACAGACAUCAAUCAGGUUCAUUACCACUGAGCCACCACGGGAAUUCCCUGAAUUUCAUCUUGAGGCACAUGAACCCUGAGGUCAGCAUCACGGGAUACGGCCCGAAGCAGAUACCUUAGUUUUCUUCUAGCAAAAUUCACAGCUUCCUGUUUCCCAGAUAAAAGACUGAGGCCAGUCAGAUCGGGGACAGAGUUGGUUUUGAUGAGCUUUGUAUGAAUAAAUCAGAAACAGGCGGAGGAAAUACCCUGCAGCCUGCCCACGCCGCCAGGGCUGAAAACCCAGGGGAAACGCAUCAAGGGCAGAAGCCCGGGCCAACCCCAGUUCCAGCACCAAGCUCCCUGGGGACCCCACAGGCCGAACACAUUCCUGGGAUCCAGCAGCUGGCGGGGCGGGGUCCAGGGCGGGAGAGUGUGCGGCCAAUCAGGUGCCUGGGGAUGAGUCACCCUCAGAGGCAACACCGGGGAGCUCGAGGCCGGAGCCAAGAUCAGCGCGGCCGCAGCCCAGACCCUCUCCUGCAAGUCUGCCCGGGCCUCGCUUUACCUGCCCGUCAAGUGGGAGCACUUGCUGGAAUGGCCCCAGUGGGGCCACAGAGGCGGCCAGUCUCAGCAGCGCGGGCGUGCGUGCUCUGCGGGGAACGUUGGGGUCACCUACUUUGCACAGGUCGGGUACUAAGAGUAUCCGACUCCCAGCCACUGGCCACAAACCUGUUUUCCCUCCGUCCCGGUGACUCAGAGACUUGGAAACCGGGCAACUUGUAGCUGCGCCUGUUGGCAUUGCCCAGAGCGGAUGCCCCUCGAACCUCCUGGGUGCCCCCCCAACACCCCCCUCGGGCAGGGCGAGCCCGAAGCCAGCUGGCAAACACAUCGGCUCCCCAGGCCUGGCUGAGACGGGCACCCCGCUUUCAGGCUGGGUCACAGGUCCAGCAACUGUGUACAGGCUGGGGUGGGGGUGCUUCCACAGCACCAGGGAAGUGGGCAACGGAGGAGAAGAGAAGGAGGGAGGGUGCCGGGGGACCAGGGAAGGAGCCAGGGCCCAAGGGUGCUGAGCAGGCAGGAAAAGGGCGGGAAGCCCAGAGACAGGUCUGACCCAGAACCACAGCCCCCGCCACUCAGGGUGCCAGGCACACUCCUGACCCACCCACCCCCCCCAAGCCCAACUCCCCAGUUUCCAGUGAGGGCAGCGGGGGUCGGGGAGAGGCCUCAGAGAGGAGAGUUACAGCCCAGGAGCAGGGAGCUGGGCUCCCCCAGAAGGUCCCCCAGGGCUGGCACGGAAGUCCCUGGGAUGCAUGAGGACUCGUCCCCAGACACUGGGAACAAGGGCCACCAGCACCCAGGGCCCCGCCAGCCCCAGGGGCCUGGGUCGCCCACCUGGAGGGACAGGGCCGGGGGUGAAGGGACGGGGGGGGCUCGACAGUGAGGGGUGGCAGCCUCUCAUCCGUGGCAGGUUUGCACUCCCACCUGCCAGGGCUCCAGAACUCUCCUUACUCUGAAGGAUUCCCUGAGGCCCCAGGGCCACCGCAGAUGCCAUCAGGGUGGCAUCGGCUGUUCACUCACGUAUGUUGACAUCAGCAGGUGGCCCCCCACGGCUUCCAGCCUCGGCCUCUGAACCCCCUUUAACCCCCGCAGCCCAAGCCUCCAUCCCAUUUCACACCCCAGGAAACCGGGGCCUCCGCACACCCAGGCCCUGCAGAUGCAAGGGUCCCAUGCCCCACCCUCGCUCGGCCUGGAGAUGCACCUUCGCCCUCAUCGUGGGGCUGAGACUUGGUUCCAGGCACCUCCCUGCUGAGAGGCAAACCCUCAGACUUGGGCCCUCAGCGCCCCUCUCCCUGCUGCUUUAGGCCAGAGCCUCAGGCCUGCGGGCGGCAUCCCUCAGAGCACCUGCCUCUCCAGGCUGGGGCAUCAGGCCUCCAAUAACAAAGUCAUCAAAAGUUUCUCUCUCGAACCAGAGCACCCUCCUCUUCCGCCACGUUUCCUUUUCACUCUGGCUGCCCGGAGGCUCAGCACCGCAUUCAGGGCGCACCGCACCGCCUCUGCUUGCUUCUCCACCCAGCCCUGCCCUCUGGGGUCGGCUGUGCUGGCCCAUCCCCUGUCUGUCUUCUUUGAUAUGCAUGAGUCCCUGGCAAACCUCCUUGGACCUGGGCCCUCAGACCUUGAACUUGCUCUGCUGAAGCUUGCAGCAGUGGCGCUGUCUCCACCAAGGCUGAUGUCCAAACAGGCCACGCGUGGGCUCAGCGGGCAGUAGGUCCUAAGGAUGCAGGCCUGGGGGAAAGGAGGGGUGAAGGGAGAGGACAGGGAGUGCCCAGCGCCCUUGCCGACGAGGCUUGCUGGAUGUCCGUGGGAGGUUGUUGCAAAGGCUAGAAACCGGAGGGGCUGGAGGCCGUGGCAGUGGGCAGAGGAAGGGUCUCCAGGAAGAGGCCAGGACCAAGGUCAGGCUCCAAACGACCAAGAGCCGGGUGGGGAACGGUCCCCAGAGGGCCUGCCCGUCCCCCCACAGGACAGCUCUGCUUUUCUCUCAAACCAGGACCCCCAGAACCCAGGUUUAAGCAGCUGUCCCCUUUGGGCUCCAGUACCCCCUCUGUGGCCAUCUGUGGGGCAGGUCCUGGGGACCGAGGGGUCACCUGGCCCCUGCCGGUGGGGAAGCACUGUCUCUGGGGGAGGCAGCCGGCAUUGGCCUCCAGAGGGGACGGAAAAGAAACCCCCCCUGUCCCCAUAGCUCCAACCCUGUGUCAGGGAGCAGCUGAGCGGGGGGCGCAGUCCCCAGACUCGGGUCCCUCCGCCCGCCUAGCUUACAAGGCAGUCAUGAUAAAACAGGGCCUGUUCCGUCAGCAGCACAAUGGCCCGCGGAGACUGAGGGGGUGGCUUCACGUCACCCCCGUGCUGGUUCCCAGGCACAGUGUUCCCUGGGGACCCAGCCCGGGGGUGCGGGCGGCCCAGGUUCAAGGGCACACGUCCCACAGGAGGCGGAGCCCAGCUGGCCCUUUAAGAAGGCCGGGGGCCGCUGCUGGCACAGCGCACAGCUGGCCCAGCGCAGAGACGGCACGUUCCUGAUCCUUCUGGAAGGCUGAGUUGGAAAGGAGACAAAGUGUCCUUGCUCAGCUCAGUAAACAAGCCUGAAGUGUUUUGAAAGCCUCUGCCGAUGUAAAUGACUGUGAAAUAAAUACUCAGUUUCCUCCUCGGGAAAAUGGGCAGAUGAGCGCCUCUCCCCAGGAAGUCGUGCGGGCGGAAGGAGCACGGUCAGGAGCCUUGAGACCUGGCAGGCAGCCCGACGCAGGGCCGGCCGCUGGAGAAACACACUGCCCAGGCUGGCUCGCCCUGGAACAGGGCCAUCAGGAGGCGCCACAAUGCGGGAAAGACACACGGUGGCCGCAGGACCUUGGUGGGGCGUCGGGCAGGCCCGGGGCGUCAGGUGGACAGUGAAGGCUUCUGGAGGAGACUGUGCCUGAGGCCGGAAGGAUGGGGGGAGCCAGGGUGAAGGCGAGGCAGCCUGGAGAACCAGCUAGAACAGCAGCCGGUACACAGUAGGUGCUCAAUUAAUUAAGCACACAGUUGGUGCUCAAUUAACGCCUGUCGACUACGUAAAUAAACCAAGGAGAGGCAAGAGCAAGCUGACACCAGAGAGGGAAUGUCCCUCUAAGGUCACAGUGUCCACUGUUUUCUGGCCCCACGGCUCUGCGCACCCCCCACCGCCGAGAGGCUGGCUGGUGCCCCCAGGCCCGACGCCCAGUUGGGGCUGCCCUCCCACCGGCCACUCCUCUCCAAGUGUUGUGCGCACCUCCUGAGGCUCGGAGCUCACCCCCAGGAGCCACUGUGUCCUCAGCUAGGGAGCCAGAAACGGCCAAUUCCCUGAAUUCCUGCCCAAACCGCAGGGCGGCCCGGGAGGCAGAGGAGUGCUCCUGCUUGGCCGCUGCAGGAGGCGCCCCGCCAGGAGGCCCAUUUGGGAAACCGGGCAGCUGGGAGGGGCUGCGGGGGCGUGGGGGCAGCAGCUGCCAGCCAAUGCCUGCACUGCCAGGCCGUCCACCCCUCGGGCUCCCGGCGGCUGAUGGCGGGGGGAUCCCUGGCAGCGGAGCCUCUGGGUACCUGUGGGCCAAACCACUCAGAAACCACAGGCCAAAUGAAUCCACUUUCUAAAGUGCCAGGGAGAGUGGGGGACACCUGGGGUUCUGUUCCAGCCGCCCCGCCAGGACAGCUAGGGCAGCAAAGAGUAGGAGGGGGACACACCCUGCGCCGCCCCCAGGGCUGGGUCCCCUGCCUACUGUGGGCAUUGGGCCACGCGUUCAGAACACCCUCUCGGAUGUCCAGCGCCGGUCCUGGCCCGAGGGGUCUGCCUACGCCCAGUGUGCCCUCCCCCUUUCCGGGAAAGUGGCCAGGGCACCCAGUACUGUCCCAGCCAGAGCAACAAGGGGCGAAACCCAGGGUGAGGACCAGGGACCAAUCCUUGAGCCACCGUGGCCCUCCUCCCGCUCCCUCCUGGAGGCCAGGCCGGGUGUCCCCUCAGGGCCCACACAGCCCCGACUGUCUCUGCCCUUAAGGACACAGAUGCCAGGCGCACACUGCCUCAUGUGCCCGUCCCCAUUCCCAGGGGCUGGGCCCCACGACUACGACAGAUGAGGCCGUGAAAAGUCACCCAACAUGUCCAAGAGCACACGGUCAGUGGAUGGACAGAGGGAUGGAGCCUUGGGCCCAAGGUCCGCUCCUGCCCGAGGCCGAACGCCUGGGUCUCAAAGGCUCGGUUCUCAGACCCGGCCUGGGAAGGGAAGAAGGCAGAGAGACGGCGGGGGCAGGGUUGGGGGGCGCGGUGGGCAAGACCCCAAAGCAGGCGGAAGGGGCGUGGAAGAGGCGCACCCACAGAGGUAAUGGCUGGGGGAGGGUGCAGCGGGCCCUCCGUCCCCUGCCUCCUCCCUCCCGGGAAAGCAGGAGGGGCCCAGCUGGACAGGGUCUUCCCGCAGAGGAAGGCGCAGGGUCCCGGGCAGGGGGCAUCUCCGUGGCAGGGACCCCCCAAUUCAGCCCAUCCCUCAGCCGACAGGGUGGGAGCCCGGUGUCAGUGCGGCUCCGCCAACAACACCCCCGCCUCGGAAGGCCCCUCUGCGCACCUUGGGACCCCCAGCAAAGCUCUUGCCUUAUGGGGUCCAGAGCCGGGCCUGGGGGCACUGGGCCUCCACACCAGGCCCUACUUAAGUUAACGCUGCGGCGCCAGAUCCCUGAGGAAACGCCUAUGAGAAAGGCCCCCGGGGGAUGGGCUGCUGCGGGGAGAGGGGGCGAUGCAGAGCUGAGUGAUGGGGGGCAGAGGAGGGCCCCCUAGGGACACGACAUCCCAGCAAUGGGGCGGCCAGAAGGCGGUGGGGGGAGAAGCCUCCAGCCCAGCAGCUCCAGGCCUUUCCUUCCGGCUGACACCUGGCAUGCCCACCCUCCACCCCCAGGAGUUCAAGGAGGGCAUUGCCAGCCUUGCCGCAGGGGGCUCCGCAAGGCGCAACCACAUGGGGUCCCAGGGUCACUCAUGUUUGAGGACCAGACCUGCUCGGCUCAGGGGUGGUGGGGCCUGCUGCUGACUAAAGGCUCAACCCCCUGCAGUGAAGAUGGGGUUUGACCCGAACCUGGGCUCUCGAGACCUCCUUACCCUAGAGCCUUCUCCCUGGGACCCCAUUAACAUCUCACAGAACUGGUAUUCCUGGAGAAGCUUCUAGAAGCCCUGGGGCAGCCCGACGUCUUCCCCACCCCCAACAGAGCAGAGAACUUUAUCUUCUGUGGGCAGGGGGUGGGGUCCUUGAGGUUUGGGGCAGCCCCGUGUGGCAGAGCCACCAAGACAAGCUGCCACCUUGGCUAAAGGGCAGGGAGAGUCCAGCAUCCACCCUCCUCAUCGGUGGGCGUUUCUCACUGGGUUCAGCGGACUCUAAGAGUUCAGGGCCUGCUCUGUCUCUUCCACCUACAGCUGCCACACGCUGUCCGCCGGCGUCAACUUCCCCAAACAUGGGUCCUAGCUUGCCACACCCUCCCUGAACAGCCCUCCUUGGCUCCCCAUUACCCAGAAGGAAAGUUCUCAUCACUCACAGGCUUCCGUUCCCAGUGUCGGCCUCUCGUUCCCAACUCACUCCUCAAACUGAGAUGGUACCUCCCGCUCCUCCCAGGCCUUAUUCCCAGGGACCCUCAGGACUCUCAGGUUCACCCUGAGGUCCCUCCCAGUCUGCCCCACACCCCUCAUCACCAUGGCCAUGCCCAGCACCUGUCCCCUCCCAGCUCUGCACCCAAGCUGGUCUGAAAAGCUGAUUCAUGCUAGAGUGGAAAUGGUUGAUACGUGGGUUGCCUGGUGGAUUUUUCUUGCAAACGCAUCACUGUUUACACGGAACUCCUAGGGGACACCCUUUAGCCAGAGCCCCAGAGAUUUAGAGCAGAGAAAGACCCAGGGCUCAAGGUGGGGGGUCCUGCCUCCUUCUCAAGGCCCCUGGAGGGACAAUGACUGCACCAGCCCUCCUUCAGUUGGUGGCAGGGUUGGGUCAGGAUCCCAGGGGCCUGCAGUCCAGACCCUUCCCUUUCCCACCCCAGCUGAGACUGGGAGGCUGAGAGCCCUCUGACCCCUGGAAGUGUUCCUGGGUGGAGGGACUCCAGGACUCCCAGCGAGGCCACACAGGAGCCGUCUGGUGGAGCGGAUCCGAGGCCCUAUCUCCAGGCGGGCGAGGAGGCCACGGGCCUCUGAAUUCCAGGCUAAUUGGCGUCUGGCGGAACACACGCCUCAAGGCAGGCCUGAUGUCCUGCCCUGGUCAGCACGCUGACGCCCUGUCCCUGCUAGACACCCCCAAACACCCCACUGAUGCAGGCCCAUCCGCCUGGCUGCCCCAGGAAGCCCCUCCCCGGGCCUUCUCCCAGCUGGCUGGGCUGCAGGCCUGGGAGGACCGACUCCCUGACCUUGGGGCCAGAGCACGGCGGGGAACCCAGCCAGAGACGGACAGAGGCUCCAGAGGCUGGGAGAUUAGAGGCAACCACAUAAACAGCGAUGGGGGCACGUGUCUGCGCGGAUCCAGACACUGGGACGAGGAAACUGAGCUCCGGGCACAGCUCAGCCCGUGGGAAUUGCCCAACUGGGCUGUCGCAAUGGGCUAGGAGGCCAGGGUCGGCCCUGCCGCUGGCUGCCAGGACCAGGCCUCCUGGCCACCCUAAGCGCCUAGAAUCUGGGGACAAUAGCGGCCAAGCAGGUAGGCGACGCCCCUGGGCCCCAGACCCCACGGUCUGUACACAAGAUGCGAGGGGCAGGCUCAAGGCCUCAAGGGCAGCAGUGGCUCAGGGCUGGCCCGUCUCAUCCCAGGACGGCCCCGCGGUGCCCCCAUUUGCCCCCAGGAAGCAGGGACACCCUAAGCCCACAUGUGGCUACAAGACCUGACAUGCUGGUCUCUGGCCCACCUCCCAGCUCCGUCCACCGCUUGACCAUGGAAGCCCAGGCAGGAAGCAGAACGUUCAGGAAGCCUCAGAGGUGCCGGGCCCUGGCCGACAGCCCUGCUGUCUGGCUCCCUUCAUGCUCAAGGAUGUUUCUGGGACCACCAGCUGGCCCAGCCCCAGCAGGACCCACAUUCUCUGCCCAAAGCCACACGGCUAGUUAGAAGUUUUAUUGAUUGAACACAACUGAGGGUUGGUAGUAAAAGUUCUCCUGAUGUAACCCACUUUUUUUAAUGGGCCAUCUCAGACACUCAAGUUUGUAUCUUAAAGGCGCUUUAGGACAAUUUAAUAGCUCAUAAAAUUUUAUGGUCCCAGUUGAAAUCAGAGUGAUAACUCCGGCCUGCACAGCUAUAGUUGGCUAAAUGUCUCUCCUCUAUUUUUUUCCUCCCGUUUAUUGGAAAGUUAACAUCUGCUCUGCGAUGGCGGUAAAAAGGAAAGCAAAAUUUCGAUCUAUUUUUCUGGGAAGAGAGUAAGAGAUUUGGGCUGUCCCGGCAGGACCCGAGCUUUGCAACACACCGGUGUUCCUUUAAGUCCAAAAGAGGGCCGAGAAACCAGCUGGCCCACAGUUCACAGAACAUCCCAGCAGGAACCCGUACCCCUGUGGAGACUGCUGAGAAACUGGAGCCUAUCCAGGCCACGGCCACGGCCGGGGAUCAGCCCCAACCUACGGAGCCCAUUAACAGUCGCUACCUGGUAAUUUCUAAAGCACCCGCUGGGUGGGUGCGUGGUCCACGGGGGGCCACAAAAGCCAAGGACACAAGUUCACUGCCUGCAAGGAGCUUGCCCGUGGGAGAUAAAGCUGGUAACGGGCUCGACACCCAGGCAGCCCUUCCGGGAGGCGGAGAUGGGCUCCAGAAAUGAACAGGAUUCAGAGGCUGCAUCCAAGGACGGAGAGACCAAAGUCCUGGUUGCACCAUUUGGCAGCGUGUCGCCUGACCUCCAGGAGCCUGGGUGUCUUUGUCUUUUAAAUGGGAUUCACAGAGACCCUACCUCUUAGGGUUAGCGUGAGGGCAGAGGGAAAUAAGGUAUAUACAGAGAUUGCCGGCCAGCAGCCAGUGCUUCAGACACACUAUCGAGAAGGAGCUUCAGGGGAGUUCCCGUGGUGGCUCAGCAAUAAUGAACUUGGCUAAUAUCCCUAAGGACGAGCGUUCAAUCCUUGGCCUUGCUCAGGGGGUUAAAGAUCUGGUGUUGCUGUGAGUUGUGGUGUGGGUCACAGACAUGGCUUGGAUCCUGUGUUGCUGUAGCUGUGGUGUAGGCUGGACGCCGUAGAUCUGAUUCGACCCCUAGCCUGGGAACUUCCAUAUGCCUUGGGCGUGACCCUAAAAAGGAAAAAAAAAAAAAAAAAAGGAAAUUCAGGAAAACAACAUGAAUGAACCUCAAAGACAUGACCCCAGUUGAAAGAGGGCAGGUGUGCAAAGUGGCACACGGAAUGGUUCUUUUCCUAGGAAGUGGCCAGAGCGUUAAGUAAAUCCCUAGAGAUGAGAAGCAGAUUAGUGGUUGCCAAGGGCCGGGGGAGGGGAAAGGGGUGUCUUUUUGGGGUGAUGACAAUAUGUUGGAACUAGAUAGGGGGUGAUUGCAUGGGAAUAGGUGAAAGGUCACGGGACAGUGCAUUUUAAAACGGUGCAUUUCGGAAUUCCCUGGUGGCCUAGCGAUUAAAAGAGGCAGAGUCCUUCAAUCCCCAGCCUGAGGUCGAGGCCAAAAACAUUAAAAUGAAAUCAAAUGGUUCAUUUUUUGGUAUGUGAAUGUCACCUCAAUUAAAAAAAUGUCUUGAAGGAAAUUUGUUUGCACAAACCUAGUGAAUGGGACACUCGCCAGGGCCAGACCCCAGACACUCUGCCUCCUGUCACCCUCCAGCCUGGGCUGAGUGAGCUGGGUCACCCUCUGUCCAGGCCUGGACACCCUCAGCCUGGCCGGUGGGGCCUAGCGGAGCCCAGACAUGGGGGCAGGGUGGGGGGCUGCCCCACACAGUUCGGGGAGAGGCCAGUGUCCCCAGGCUGCUGGGAGGACCAAGUUACAUCAGAGGUCGUGUGCGAGAUGCGUUACAAAGAGAGAGGGAUGAGCUCCAGGUGCACUGGCUGCACCUGCCAUGGAGCACCUGCCGUGGCGGGACGAGGGGAGCACGAGGGGAUGUGCGCAGCCAGGGAGCCCACAGGGGUCAAGGCAGAGUCCCCGCCUGGCCCAGACCCGGGGACAGUCAGCUCCUCUGCCCACCCCCACCCCCCUCCCUCUCCUGGCCUCCCUGGCUCCCCCUCAGAGUCCCAUCCUAAUCCUGCCAGGAGAGGGAGCCCAGGGCAGUGGGUCUCCGUCCUGUGUCCCCCCUGCAGGCAGCCAGGCCAGAGAGAGAGCUGUCCAGCCCGCAGCCACGGAGGAGGCGCCCGCCACCCAGCUGACAUGGGGGCGGGUCUCAGGCUUUCCCCACUGGGCCACCACUGCCAGGGCAGCCUCCUGGGCUUUGGGCCACCAGGCGGAAAGGAUAAAAAGAGGCCACAUGCCUCCUGCCACGUGGAGGCAUCCACGCACCAGGGGCAACACUGUCACACAGAACUCGGGUGCCAGAGGACCACGUGGGCAUUCAGCAGGGCGAGUUGGCAGGACCGACACCACUGCCUGUUGGGAUCCCAGGACUCGGGGAGGCCAUGCUGCCGAGGGUGCCCUAGCCGGCCCGGCCCAGGCUGGGAGCCACCAGUAUGAGACGCCACUUGACUGGCAAGAAACUCACCUUCCGAGGAACCUGCCAGUCUUCAAACUCAUAAAUGCCCUCCAGAGUUAGUGACCCCUGAACUACGGGCAGAUGUUAAGUGCCCAUAACCCUUUCCGGCUGGUGAUAACCCCGCGGCACUCUUGGCUUUUCUUGCGAUGGGUUUGCUGUUUUCUCCAAGGAGUGGGUUUCAUCAGAUCCGGGUGCCCAAGACCGUGGCAAGGACCCAGCCACGGAAGGAGGGGCUGGACGGCGGCUCACAGUCCCCUUGUGCAGCUCCAGCGCGGGGCAAAAUCCCGCACAGGCCUGCGGUGAGGCCUCGCAAACAAGCAGCAGCAUGAUCCUGCCGGCCAGCUCAGCCCCCAGCCUUGGCCCAGAGCGGCUCUGGCCGCCCCGCCUCUGGCUCCCCUCCUGCAGCCCAUGCCGACCGCCCGCCACCAGAGGCCUUGCCAGCCGCCGAGGCAGCCCCUUGCGUCCCGUCCCCAGAGCCCUCAGCAGCCCUGAAGUCAUUCUGCUCCAGGAUCUGCUCCGUGUUUAUGUCCUGCCUCGGUCUCCGGGGGGCCUGACGUGCUCCCUGCAGCUUGUCCCCAGCACCCAGCCCCCGCGGGAACAAGGACCCGAGACGGAAACGGCAAAAGCGCUGUGAGCAAGACACCUGCCCGCGGAUCCCAGCCCCGCUGCCAGCUAUCUUUCUCCAUCGCUUGGCCGGCCCGAGGAUCUCAAGAAUGGAAAGGGGUUUAGGGGGUCUGGAGACCACCCCACCACCCAAGAAAGGAGCCCGAGGUUAACUCCCACGUUCUCAGGAGAGCCGCCGACGUGUUGAUGCAAGCGCCAAAUAAUCGAAUUGCAGGUGGGGGUGGGGAGGAGAUAAUUGAAUAUCAGCGAGGGGCUGUUGUCAGGUCAGCCAGUUCCUGGCGUGUUCUCGUAUGUAUGUUUUCUGAGAGAGCCCCCAAAUAAAACAGUUCUAUUAUUUUA